UGGGUUUUUCACUGAUCAGAAACUUUGUCUCCGGUGUGAAUUACUUCUAGGGAAAGCGUGCACGCAUUAAUUAAACAAUUUGGAAGGUGUAGAUAGACAAAUAAUCAAAGUUUUCUUUGAUCCAAAACAAUUUGGUGGAGAAUGCGGGCAUGAAAGGGAUACGUUACUAAGGCAGCCGUCAGAUCCCAAGACAGGAGAGCAAAGGAUUCCCAGAGAUUGGAAACGGAGCCUGAUCACCUCUGCAUAUGGUAAAUGAGUUACUUACCUAUAUUUUCCUUUCUUUGGAUUUCUCUUGUUCUCCGUGCCUUCACAUUCGGCUUCCGGUGUUUAACGUCUUCAGACAGGUAAUAUAUAUAUGCCCGAAUGUCCCCUUUUAUAUAGAACCUGUCACUUGUCUAUCUACAGCCUGAGUCCUGAAUGUGAGUUUUAUGUGUGAAAGUGUCUGUUUGAGAAUCUGUUUUACUACUUGCUUAAUACUGUUAUAUAAUGCUGCCAAGUGUGGUUAAGCACUUGCAGGUUUAGCCAAGUUCGGGUUUGGUGGAAAACCCCUG